UACUCAUACACACACAAAAUCAUUCAACUUUUACCAAAUAAAUAACAUUAAGACAUGGAACCAGUCCAUGUCAUACUUGUGAGUAUGUUCUUUGUGUUCUAACAACUUUUUCUCUUAACCAAAACCCAUGAACCAAAUGAUUUCUGACCUGCUUCUCUCUCACACAAUUGUGUGUGUGUUCUUGGCGUUCUAACAACUUUCUCUCUCUAAAACCUAUGAACCAAAUGAUUUCUGACCUGCUUCUCACUCGCACACUUGUGUGUGUUUUUGGUCUUGGUGUUCCAAUAAUUUUCCCUCUCUUGAAGCUCAUGCAACCAAAUGAUUUCAGCCUGCUUCGAUCUUCAGAUCUGGUGGCUUCAAAAGAAAGGGAUGAGUACAUGAACACAUGGUGUCUUUGAUCUUCAGAUCUGGUGGCUUUGAUCUUCGAUAUUCAGAUCUCGUAGCUUUGAUGGUGGCUUUGAUGAAAAGAAAAACACACCGCAAAUAAACAAUUAUCCUCCUCCAAACCUAAAUAACGCUGAUAGAUUUGCAAAUGAUCUUCCCGGAGAUUUCCAUCAACUGCAAAGUUUCAGUGUUGGAAGGCAGUGAAUCGGACACACCAGCAAAGGAUUUGAAAGAAAAGAAAAAAAUAUUUUUGUAACUUAAGUAUUUUGUUUUUUAGGGAACAAGUGUGUUGUAUGCGUUGUUAGGUUAUAUAAUAAUGUUGCACCUUAACAUUUGUGGGGGCAAAAUUUUGUAACUUAAGUAUUUUAUUCAUAAAGCUGUUUUACGAUA